UCGCGGGAGCGCUGCUGGCGGUCGGGCGCUCGGGCGGCCCUGGCCGGGGAGACGAGUUGCAUGUGUUGGUUCAGCUGGCGAUAGCGGCGGGAGCGGAGCCGGCGGGGCCUGUGCGACCGCCUGGGUUUGUGAAAUGGCUGCUGACAUUUCUGAAUCCAGCGGGGCUGACUGCAAAGGAGACCCAAGGAACAGUGCCAAGUUAGAUGCCGAUUACCCACUUCGAGUCCUUUAUUGUGGAGUCUGUUCAUUACCAACAGAGUACUGUGAAUAUAUGCCUGAUGUUGCUAAAUGUAGACAAUGGUUAGAGAAGAAUUUUCCAAAUGAAUUUGCAAAACUUACUGUAGGUAUGAACAUUUUUUUUCUUGCAUUAAACUUCUGUACCUGAGACAAAUGCAUGUAUGGCAUUAUUCUAAAGAUAGGAAAGUCCUCCUUUAGUAGGAUAUUACAGAAUUAACAUUUAUCUGUUAGCUGUUUAAGUUCUCUCUGAGAUAGGAUAGGUCUGAAUAUCAACUUUCUUACAUAAAAAAGUAAAUGGGCCGGGCGCAGUGGCUCACACCUAUAAUCCUAGCAGUUUGGGAGGCUGAGGCAGGCGGAUCACAAGGUCAGGAGAUCAAGAUCAUCUUGGCUAACACAGUGAAACCCCAUCUCUACUAAAAAUGAAAAAAAAAAAA
rnacentral:lncRNA from 1 species